GCGAUUCGCCCUUCGGGGUGCAGCAGGCGCGAAAACUCUACAAUGCAGGCAACUGCGAUAGGGGAACAUCGAGUGAUCCUCAUAUUGGGGGUCUGUCCCAUCGUCUAAAAAACGGUGGUUAGCAAGGGCCGGGCAAGACCGGUGCCAGCCGCCGCGGUAAUACCGGCGGCUCGAGUGGUGGCCGAUAUUAUUGAGUCUAAAGGGUCCGUAGCCGGCUUUGCAAGUCUCUCGGGAAAUCCAGCGGCUUAACCGUUGGUCGUCCGGGGGGUACUACAUUGCUUGGGACUGGGAGAGGUAGGAGGUACUCAGGGGGUAGGAGUGAAAUCCUGUAAUCCUCUGGGGACCACCGGUGGCGAAGGCGUCCUACCAGAACAGGUCCGACGGUGAGGGACGAAAGCUAGGGGCACGAACCGGAUUAGAUACCCGGGUAGUCCUAGCCGUAAACGAUGCUCGCUAGGUGUCACAACAGUCGUGAACUGUUGUGGUGCCGUAGGGAAGCCGUGAAGCGAGCCACUUGCAAGUACGACCGCAAGGUUGAAACUUAAAGGAAUUGGCGGGGGAGCAC
rnacentral:rRNA from 1 species